ncrna:unclassified sequences S4-Clostridia ribosomal protein leader
GAAAGGCUGUAGUAUCUAGCAGCUGGGUACGUUAUGAUGUAUCCCAAUUUGAG